GCGCUUGUAGUUCAAUGGACAGAACGCUGGCCUCCGGAGCCAGAAGUUGUGGGUUCAACUCCCACCAAGCGCU
rnacentral:tRNA from 1 species